rnacentral:lncRNA from 1 species
AGUCUCCCCCAAAUUAUAGCCAGUUUUAAAAAGAUACACGUGGGUCCUAAGGAGGUCAUUCUGACCGGAUUUCUACCACAGAGUUGGCUCAACCAGCAUAAACUGCUUAGACAGCAUCAAGAUCAACAUGUCCUUUUCUUCCAUUACGUGAUUUUAUGAUCCUUGCAACACAGGAAUAGCAGAAAAGAGAAUAGGGAAUUCUGUGAGUCUCUGUGAGGUUGCCCAAAACGGAGUAUUGACACAAUUUUCAGGAGGCUGAUGUGACACAUACAUAUUCGACAGUUACUGUGUUAAAUUAUCUAGUUACCUUAAUCAACUACAGCAAACCACUAAAUUAGGGAAUAUGUUUACACAAGUUCAUUUUGAAGCAAAGGUUCAAAAUAAGCAAGAUCCAGUCACACAAAAAGUGUUUCAUUACAUUCUUAGAAAUAGUCAAACUAUACGGUGCUUUUGUAGGACUACCUACUCUAGAUUAUAGUCUCUAGACUUGAUAUCCAAUAUUCAAGUAUACAGAAAGCAGGAAGCAGGAAUACUCUUUUUUUUUUUUUGUAAAGAAUAUUUGUAAAAUCACCUCAAAGGUGAAGUAACUACCUGUGGUUUAAAUAUAUUCCCAUGUGGGGCACCUGGGUGGCUCAGUCGGUUAAGUACCUGACUUUGGCUCAGGUCAUGAUCUUGCAGUUUGUGAGUUCAAGCCCCACAUCGGGCUCUGUGCUGACAGCUCAGAGCCUGGAUCCUGCUUUGGAUUCUGUCUGCCCCUCUCCCACUUGCGCUCUGUCUGUCUCUCUCUCAAAAAUACAUAAGCAUUAAAAAAAAAAGUUAAAUAAAUAAAUAAUAUAUUCCCAUUUAUGUUGUUCAGUUUUGAGAUGAGAUAGAAUCACAACUGGUAACACUAGAAGGAAAAUAAGGAACAGUGGUUGAAGAAAGGAAAGUAACAUUUAGUGAGCGCUUGGGAAAUAUGUUAUGUUUAAUAUGUUAUUAAAUACUCAGAACUCUCUAAGGUUGAAGAUGUGCUUUGUCACCAUUGUAUAAAUAAGAAUACUGAUGGAACAGAAAUUCAAAUGGAUUUCUUCCUGACUUCACAGCUUGUGCUCUAUUUUUUGCACAUUAUUGUGAAAAGAGAUAAAAAGCUUAAAUCAUCUAACAUAAAGUAAUCAGAGUUGAAACAUAUUAAUGACCAUUGACUCCGCCCUAAAUACUUGGCAAUUAUAUUCCAUUCUACACACUAGCCCAAAAUUUGAAUGUAAAUACAUGAAACUGAUUUGUAACGUUGGCGCUCAUAAAAUGGAUGUCAAUAAGAAUAAUUGUGUUUUUUUUUCUCUUUCUGAAAUAAGUAUCAUUAAGAAAACUGCUAAAGAGAGAAUGUGACAAGUUAUGGCACCAUUAAGAAGCAAGAGGUGGUGAAAGAGUGGUUGAAUUUAAAUUAUUCUUCAUGGUUUAUAUAAUUGUGCUGGUGUUUCAGUGUCUGUUCCUGAAAACGUUCCUCCACCUACUUUAACAUAUAUGAUUCUUGCAAGAGAUCCAGACCAAGAAGCUGAAGUGUCUUAUUAUCAUCUAUUUGUUUAUUUUUCAAACUUUAACUAACAAACAAAAAACGCUCAAAUUUUCAACAAGUAAAAAAUUAUUUAAUUAGGCUAUGAAUUAAAGUGUUCUUUAUAUCUUACCAUAGUCACUAGUGGAAGAAGGAAUUUAAAGCUUUGGAUACAGUAACACUGGCUAAAAAUGAUAUGACUUGAAAAUUAAAGCAAUAGACACAUUAGUCUGAAAGCACUUUGAAAAACUAGAGCUUACAUUUAUUUCCAUUUAUCUGAUGACACUUACAUAGCUGAGAGAAUGACUUUUCAUGUUUCCUUGCCUUUUAUUCAGCUCAGAUCGGGCAUAUUUUCUUUAUUAUACAUAUAAUUUGAAUAAAGAGUUAUAUCUUCAUAUUAUUUCUGGUUUUAUCAAUAAUUAAUAAAGUGAAUGAAUACAUAUUAAAUGACAAAAUAGUUACAGAUUAAGCGGUGGUAAAUAAGAAAAAAUACAAGAUAAUUUAUCACUCUAGAUUUUUUCAGAGGGUGUUAUGGUAUCCAUAUAAUCUCUAUUCUAAUUGGUAAGACAAAUUUUGGUUUCCUGAUUAAACAUUAUAUUAUAAAUCAUUAAUUCACUAGAAUAUUCUGCCCUAUAUGUUGUAAUUCUUCCUUUAAUUCUGACUAGAGCAGACUAAGGUUUUUUCCAUUUAUUCAUACUUACUCUAACAACUGGCUCAUAAACAUCCCUUAGAGAGGAGAAUACGGUUGAAACAAAAGUUUAAGGGGAAGCUUGCUGGAAUAGCUAAUCUGUAUAUAAUUUUUCUGGGGGCCUGAUUUGAAAAAGGAAUUGAUCAGCUCUCCCAGUUUCAGGUUUUUUGCUCAUGUGAAUCUUAGACUGAAGAAAAAUAUAAGUUCCAGUUUACCAAGUUCAGAAGCUCCAUGCAUGUGAGAGUGUGAAUGUGUGCAGGGAGAUAGCGUUAGGGAAUGUGUAUAUGUGUGUUUAGGAUGUAUGGGUAUACGUGUGGGUUUAGGCCAGGGUAUAUGCAUGCAAGUGGAGGAUUGGUGUCUAUGUAAAUAACUGUAAUUAUAUGCUUACAUGUAUAUUUUCCAUAACUAAAACAUAAUACCUGAAUUUUAUUGCAAAACUCAUUGGGAAAGAAAAAAAAAACCUGGAAAAUGAUAUUUUUUAACAAAUCCAAAACUAUAAUAAAAAGAGGAGAAACAAAGAAAAGGAGGUUUUUUUCAUGAGAACAUUUAAUGGAUUUUAGUCAAACAUAAUCCAACUUUGGUUGUUCACUUAUAGACAAGUAAAAAAUCAGUUAAUACGCCCAUCAAAAUAACUGUGAUGUCUUUUGGAAAUGGCAUUGGAUACCACAUAUCCUAGGUUUUAUUGUUUUCCUUUGGGCCAGAAACUGGAUGUAAAUGUUUAAAAAUAUAAUGUCUUUACUGAAUCCUUUUCAAAAUCUUUAAUAUUUGUCUUGAAACUGAGCCCAGUUAUAAGCAUGGGUGAUAACACUGGAGAGGAACAUGAUGAUGACCAUAAUUUUUUUUUAAAUAAAGCAGUAUUUGAUUGUGCCAUACAGAAAAUCAUUACAAAGAUGAUAUCAAAUGUGCCUCCUUUAGAUACAUUCUGAAUAUACAAGAAGGAAUUACUUUUUUAUAUAUUAGAAAAAUCUAUAAAUGCAACACUAGACAGUAAACUAAUUAUAAAAUCAAAAAUAGCUACUUACCAAAAAAAGCUUUAAUACUUAAGUAUAAAAAUCUUUGGAGGGCGCUUGGGUGGCUCAGUCAGUUGGGCCUCCAACUGCGGCUCAGGUCAUGAUCUUCUGGUUCAUGAGUUUGAGCCCCAUGUCGGGCUUGGGCUGACAGCUCAGAGCCUGGAGCCUGCCUAGGAUUCUGUGUCUCUCUCUCUCUUUCUGCCCCUCUCCUGCUCACGCUCUCUCUCUGUCUCUCUCUGUCUCUGUGUGUCUCAAAAAUAAAUAAACAUUAAAAAAAAUAAAAAAUAAAUCUUUGGAAAGGGGUGCCUGGGUGCUUGGUUGGGCAACCAACUCUUGAUUUCAGCUCAGGUCAUGAUCUCAUGGUUUGUAAGACUGAGUCUUGCAAUGGGCUCUGUGCUGACAGGUGUGGAACCUGCUUGGGAUUCUUUCUCCCUCUUUCUGCUUGUCUCUCUCUUGUGUUUGCAUACACUCUCUCACCCCACACCCCUUGAAAAUAAAUAAAUAAAACUUUAAAAAAUGCUUGUGAAAAACAAAUAAAAAUGUGAAAGUAUUUUCAGAUUGCUUUUGAAGUCUGCAACUGAAAGAAAGCUUAGCUUUCAUUUAAUGGGCACUGUAUUUACAGAAUUAAUUUUGAUUUAGUUAGGACUUGGCAAAUAAUGACAUCAAAACCAUCAGUUCAGAAUGCAUGCAUUUUCAAUAAUGUAUUAACCAUUUUUGUGUAUGUUUUUAAAAAAAUACUAAAUUCUUCAGUUAGUUCCACUGCCUACUUUGCUUUAGAUUUGCAUAAUGG